rnacentral:rRNA from 1 species
AUUGAACGCUGGCGGCAUGCUUUACACAUGCAAGUCGAACGGUAACAGGUUAAGCUGACGAGUGGCGAACGGGUGAGUAAUGCAUCGGAACGUGCCCAGUCGUGGGGGAUAACGCAGCGAAAGCUGUGCUAAUACCGCAUACGAUCUAUGGAUGAAAGCGGGGGACCGUAAGGCCUCGCGCGAUUGGAGCGGCCGAUGUCAGAUUAGCUAGUUGGUGGGGUAAAGGCCCACCAAGGCGACGAUCUGUAGCUGGUCUGAGAGGACGACCAGCCACACUGGAACUGAGACACGGUCCAGACUCCUACGGGAGGCAGCAGUGGGGAAUUUUGGACAAUGGGCGCAAGCCUGAUCCAGCAAUGCCGCGUGCAGGAAGAAGGGCCUUCGGGUUGUAAACUGCUUUGUACGGUAACGAAGCGAAAGUGACGGUACCUACAAAAGAAGCACCGGCGUAACUAUGUG